rnacentral:rRNA from 1 species
AUUGAACGCUGGCGGCAGGCUUAACACAUGCAAGUCGAGCGGAGAUGAGGUGCUUGCACCUUAUCUUAGCGGCGGACGGGUGAGUAAUGCUUAGGAAUCUGCCUAUUAGUGGGGGACAACAUUCCGAAAGGAAUGCUAAUACCGCAUACGCCCUACGGGGGAAAGCAGGGGAUCUUCGGACCUGGCGCUAAUAGAUGAGCCUAAGUCGGAUUAGCUAGUUGGUGGGGUAAAGGCCUACCAAGGCGACGAUCUGUAGCGGGUCUGAGAGGAUGAUCCGCCACACUGGGACUGAGACACGGCCCAGACUCCUACGGGAGGCAGCAGUGGGGAAUAUUGGACAAUGGGCGGAAGCCUGAUCCAGCCAUGCCGCGUGUGUGAAGAAGGCCUUUUGGUUGUAAAGCACUUUAAGCGAGGAGGAGGCUACCUGGAUUAAUACUCUAGGAUAGUGGACGUUACUCGCAGAAUAAACACCGGCUAACUCUGUGCCAGCCGCCGCCGUAACAC